GUGAAAACGUCAUGCAUAAUGGUAGCAAUCAAUGAUUACAUUGUUUUCAAUCCUUUUAGACGUUGUAAUAAAAAGAAUGACAUCAUCUUCAGAAGUCACACCAUUAACCCAAACUUUUCUAUAAAUAUAUAAUUGCUUGUAUACGUAUUUUACACAGGGAUGCCGAAAAUAGAAGUAUUUUGAUCAAGCAGAUGGUUUUCUGUGGUUCACAAGUGAUUGAUGAAAGCAUCUCCAACUCACAAACUGUCUUCACAUUAUAGAACAAGAACAGACAACCUUCUUGGAUGAAUCAUCAACCUUCUUCUCUCCUUAGAUUUUGCUAGAGAUGGCUGUACGACAACAUGCAUGAUUAUAACUCCACCCGCAAUAUCACCAAAUGGUGCUUUACACUGACCAACAGUCUUGUUGUUUUCCAAUAUUUUACCAGAACUAAUCAAUUUCACUUCAUUUGCUGACUUU
rnacentral:lncRNA from 1 species